rnacentral:rRNA from 1 species
CCUACGGGUGGCAGCAGUGGGGAAUAUUGCACAAUGGGGGGAACCCUGAUGCAGCGACGCCGCGUGAGUGAAGAAGUACUUCGUUAUGUAAAGCUCUAUCAGCAGGGAAGAAAAUGACGGUACCUGGGUAAGCAGCCCCGGCUAACUACGGUCCAGCAACCGCGGUAAUACGGAGGGGGCAGGCGUUAACCGGAUUUACUGGGUGGAAAGGGAGCGUAGACGGCAGUGCAAGUCUGGAGUGAAAGGCGGGGGCCCAACCCCCGGACUGCUCUGGAAACUGUACGGCUGGAGUGCAGGAGAGGUAAGUGGAAUUCCUAGUGUAGCGGUGAAAUGCGUAGAUAUGAGGAGGAACACCAGGGGCGAAGGCGGCUUACUGGACUGUAACUGACGUUGAGGCUCGAAAGCGUGGGGAGCAAACAGGAUUAGAUACCCUUGUAGUC